UGCCUGUCAGCUGAGGGCUCUGCAGGGCUACUAGCCAGGGGCCUCAGUUCCUCUCCACAUGGGCUGCUUUCCAGGCAGCUAGACUGCCUCACCCAUGGUGGCUGGGUUCAAAGAGCAACUGUCCCAAAAGGCGGAAAGUGGAAACUGCUGUAACCUAUUGAUCAGAAGAUGGCACAGCCGGCAUGACAACCCAUGUCUUCAACUUCUCAGUGAAGACUCUUUCUACCAUCCUAUACAUCUCAAGCCCAGUGGUUCUCAAAGAAUGGUCCCUGGAUCCCAGCAUCAGCAGUGCGUGGGAACUUGUCUGAUAUGAAAAUUCUCCAGCCCUACCACAGAUCUCCUGAAUCAGAAACUCUGAGGAUGAGGUCCUGGAAUCCAUGUUGUAACAAGCCCUCUGGAUGAUUCAGACGCAUGCUUGAAUUUAAGGACCAUUGCACUAUUUUAACCUUGUAUAAGAGGAAAAGUGGAAGGAAAUUGAGAUAAUUGACUGAGAAAUAUGUGAUGUCUGUCAUGAAAGGUUUGAAAGAUGUGUAUGUAGAAGAUGGAACAGUUUUGUUCUGUGCUGUUUCAGAAGCUUUUUAAUAAACUUAAGAAAGAACAUUCUAAGAAACAGCCAUCGUAAUUUGAACAUUUUAGGAGGCAUUUCCAAUCACUAGAGAGAGUCAAACAGAGACCUAGGGCCCAUACAUGCCCACAGAGUGGGGCGGGAGAAAUUCUUAUACUGGGCAAUUACAGUUGGAGUUUCAGGGAGCCACAAAAUAGAUUUCUUUCUUUCCUGAGUUUGUAACCAAUUGAGAAAUAAGAAAGGGGAUUAAAAAGGAGGUCCAUCUUCAUUACUAGUAAAGCCUAGGGUGUAGAGCAUGUAUGUUCCAGAUGUUUUUCUUUUUUUCCUUCUUCUUGCCGUGUAAUAAGCCACCCAAAACAGUGACAUGAAGUAAUCAUUUAUUUCCUUCUGCUGUGAAAGUUGGCCAGGCUUAUCAGGGUAAGUUUCACUCAGGUCUCUCUUGUGUUUGUACUUAAAAGUGUCUGGAAAUGGGAGUAUGCAUGCACACAUCUAGCAACUGAGCUGAAAAGACUCCAUCAGCUGGGACUGGAAUGACAUCACUCCCCUACGCCUAUCCAUAUGGUGACCUCAGGGCACCUGGACUUCUUUCACAGAGACUGAACGGUCUCAAAGUGAGAGUCCCAAGAGAAACCAACAGAAGCUGUGUGGCUUUCUAACAGCCCCAGGAAUCAAGCUGAACCACGACCACAGCAUUCUGUUUAUUAAGACAGUCACAAAGUCCCACCCAGUUUCAAAGGGAGGGAUCAUAGACUACACAUCUUGAUGGGAAGAAUGUCAAGGAAUUUGCAGACAUGUUUUAAAACCACCACAUCAGUCUUUAAAACCUUCUCCCCUUGAACUGAACUUAGCCUCAAGCAGUAAACUUACCUCUUCUAGGCCAAAGAUUGAUAUAAGAAGCUUACUAACUGCCCUCUCUGCAGGCAGGCAGGGCUCCAGGACAGAAAAUGCUUCGUUUCUUUUUCAAAUUCACCAAUCAGAUAAGUUGUUCCUGAGUUGGGGAGAGAGGACUACCGGAGAGGGGACUACGACAGGCCAGGAGGGUUACACUGGAAGUAGUCCUCACAUGGAAACUUGAGCCCCAGAAAAUGUGGAUUACCUCAUCACAUGCAGUUAGAUUGGCUGGAACUCCUUUUAUUUUUAAGCUUUCAAGAAAUUAUGAAUUUUAAUUCCUAAAUAUUAUUUGUCUAUUUAGUUCCAGAAUAACUUAAUAUCUCUGGCAAUUCUUGUCCUCAAAGAGAAUAUGGACAUUUUGUCAUAAAUAUGUGUCAAUUGUAUUUAUUUGUUUAUUCAUUUAUUUCCAUUCCUAUCAAACUGCCUUAAUUUUUUUUAAACAUCUUUUUCUGAGAUAUAAAUCAUAUAGCACACAUUUCAUGCAUUUAAAGUAUCCAAUUCAAUGGUUUGGGGUAUAUUCACAGUUAUAAGCAACUAUCACAACACCCAAUUUUAGAGCAUUUUUGUCACUUUUUGAAAAAACUCUGUGCCCUUUAGCUAUCGUCUCCCUGUCCUUGCAUUCCCCCCCAGCCCUAAGCAACAACUACUUUAUUUUUUUGUCUUUAUAGAUUUGGACAUUUAAUCUAGAUAGAAUCAUGUAUAUGUGGUCUUUUGUGUUAGGCUUCUUUCACUUAGCACGCUGUUUUCAAGGUUAAUUCAUGUUGUAGCAUGUAUCAAUACCUCAUCCAUUUUCAUGGUCAAAUAAUAUUCCACUGUUUAGAUAUACCACAUUUUGUUUAUGCACUUAUCAAGAGAUGGACAUUUGGGUUGUUCCCACCUUUUGGUUAUAAACAUCUGUGUACAAGUUUAUGCGUGGACAUGCUUUCAUUUCUCUUGUGUAUAUACCUAGGAGUGCAAUUGCUGGGUCAUAGGGAUGAUUUGAAGAAUGUCAAAAUAUUUUCCAAAGUGGCUACACCUUUAUAUUGCCACUAGCCAUGGAUGAAGGUUCUUGUUUUUCCAGAUCUUCAACACUUGUUAUCAUCUGACUUUUUAAUUCUAGCCAUCCUAGUGGAUGUGAAGUAAUAUUUCAUUGUAGAUUUGAUUUGCAAUUCCCUGAUGACUAAUGAAGUUGAGCAUCUUAUAUGCUUAUUGGCCAUUUGUAUAUUGUCUUUGGA
rnacentral:lncRNA from 10 species